GUAACAAGGUUUCCGUAGGUAGCAUGUUUGCCUGCCGGAAGCCCCCGCAGCGACUCUAAAGAAUUGCGUUAGUCGCCCCUCGAUUCGGGGCAGGCAACGCCAUCACUCUGCGCUGGAAGUCCCCCAUUCGGGGCCAACCAGCAGCUCCGGAGACCCCUGCGGAGUUCACAGAUCAAACGAUAGCGGCCACCUCGGUGGUUGAGAUAUGGUCGGCCUUUAGCUGUCCCCGGCUGGAGAACUCGCGGAACCUGCGGAAGGAUCAUUA
rnacentral:rRNA from 1 species